rnacentral:lncRNA from 1 species
AUUGAGCUGCAUGUUUCUUUUUAAAUUCCUUAUAUUUUCUAUUUCAGCCUUCAGCACAUGAAACAACAAAUAUUUAUUGAGGGUUGAAGAAUGAGAUCAUGACUUCCUUUCUGUAUCAACUCCUUGGUUCUUGAUUUCUCUACAUUACAAAUUAUGUCUAGAAUACCUCACAAUGAGCGCUCAAGCUCUCAGCUCUUGCUCUGUUAACAAUGGGGGCUAUGAGCCGGAGUGUGUUCAGAUCACUGAUGAACACUGUAAGCCCUGGUGCCUUCCACACCACCAGCUGAAAUGAGACAGCAAACACUGAGAGAGAAAGUCAGAGCGAGCACAUAUUACCUGCUGCAAAGGAACAACGUGUUGAGAAGAUGGACCCCUGCGCAAGUGGGAAUGGAUGUACCCACAUCUGUCAGAGUGAGAAUGGUGUGGCCAGGUGUGUCUGUCGCCCAGGGUACUAGCUGUCUGAAGACAAAAAGGCCUAUAGAGACCUUGAUGAAUGUGAGAGUGGAGAAAUCCGCUGUGCCCAACUAUGCAUCAACUAUUUAG